rnacentral:rRNA from 1 species
GACGAACGCUGGCGGCGUGCUUAACACAUGCAAGUCGAGCGGUAAGGCUCCUUCGGGAGUACACGAGCGGCGAACGGGUGAGUAACACGUGAGCAAUCUGCCCUUCACACGGGGAUAACUCCGGGAAACCGAAGCUAAUACCCGAUACGACCACUUCAGGCAUCUGAUGGUGGUGGAAAGUUCCGGCGGUGAAGGAUGAGCUCGCGGCCUAUCAGCUUGUUGGUGGGGUAACGGCCCACCAAGGCAACGACGGGUAGCCGGCCUGAGAGGGUGACCGGCCACACUGGGACUGAGACACGGCCCAGACUCCUACGGGAGGCAGCAGUGGGGAAUAUUGGACAAUGGGCGAAAGCCUGAUCCAGCAACGCCGCGUGAGGGAUGACGGCCUUCGGGUUGUAAACCUCUUUCAGCAGGGACGAAGCGCAAGUGACGGUACCUGCAGAAGAAGCACCGGCCAACUACGUGCCAGCCGCCGCGGUAACAC